rnacentral:rRNA from 1 species
CAGGACGAACGCUGGCGGCGUGCUUCAUACAUGCAAGUCGAACGAGAAUCUGACUUCGGUCAGAGGAAAGUGGCGGACGGGUGAGUAAAAUGUAGAGAAUCUGCCCUUAAGCGGGGGACAACAGUUGGAAACGACUGCUAAUACCCCAUAUGCGCGUAGCUGAGAUGCUAUUCGUGAAAACUCCGGUGCUUAAGGAUGAGUCUGCAUCUGAUUAGCUAGUAGGCGGUGUAAUGGACCACCUAGGCGACGAUCAGUAGCUGGUUUGAGAGGAUGAUCAGCCACAAUGGGACUGAGACACGGCCCAUACUCCUACGGGAGGCAGCAGUAGGGAAUUUUGCGCAAUGGGGGAAACCCUGACGCCAGCAACGCCGCGUGAUUGAAGAAGCCCUUCGGGGUGUAAAGAUCUGUCAGUGGGGACGAAACUUGACGGUACCCACAGAGGAAGCAUUGGCUAACUCCGUGCCAGCCGCGGC